GAUGGGCAAAUAUGGGUGUCGAGCCAGGCUGCCCAAUCCCUUUUCCAUCAUGAGCUGUGUCCACUCUGACUAAAAAUCUACUCAGAGAAAUCUCCUGUCAUAAUAGAAAUUUCACUCUAUGACGUCGCUUCUUAUCCUUUCGAGUCUCUCGUCUAAUAUCCAAUCCACCCCCACUUGGAGCUCCACCUCACUCUGGACUCCUCCUGGCCCUUAAAGCUCCACCUUGCACUGAGCUCUCUGUCAAAUAAUAAUGUCAUCUCAUCCUCUUUUUUUUCUUCAAAAUAACUCUAUCGUCAUGCAACACCUU
rnacentral:lncRNA from 1 species